GGGAAGUGAGUUUUUUUGGAAGUAGUGGUCAAACCAAUCAGUCCUUAGGUCUGAGUAUUGGCACCUUUGUUGGCCACUAAGAGGUUGGACACGCCUCUGAGGACACGAGGGGUUAAAAGCCGGAUUUCCCAGCAGGACUCCCUCUUUCCCUGCUCUGCUUUCGGAGAGGGAGCGUCUUCUCCUCUUCCCCUGCCCAGGCCUGGCUAGGCCGGGUGGGGGAGGGGAGCAAGGCAGAAGAGAGUUAUCCCUGGAUGCUGUAUUCUCAUAGUUGGUGGUUUUAGAAGAGAGAGGACAGCCUGGGACCGAGAGGGUAAUGUGAGAUGAAAAGAAGCCCCUUCGAUUGCCAGAAUGAAGAGGAGUGGCCUAUGAGGCUGGACUUUUCUUGCAUAAUGAUAGCCAUAGACGGACCCUGGACCCUCCUGACUAUAAAUAAGACUGUGUUUGGGUGGAUGUUUUUGGCUCAAACCCAGAGACGUUCUGGCCUGCUUCUUGGAGCCCCCGGCCCCAGGGGUAAAUGGGGGGGACCUGAGUCCCAAAAUGAGAAGAUGGCUGGUUUUUGGUACUUGGCCAAAACAUCCUUAAAAAGAGCCCUGUUGCAGUACAGGUCCAUGGACGGCAGUGAGAGUGCUGGACAUGGAAAGGAGGGUGUCACCCUGGCAGACUCUUCGAGGCAGUGCCAUGGGUGACGUGGGAACACGGGAUGGUGGACCUGUGUUUCCUGUGGGGGGGGGCGGUCUGUGGUGCGAGAGAGACUCCUCUCGUCCUGGAUGGAAUGUGGAUUGUCUGAAUUUUAAAGGAUGAUGAUUUGGAUUAGGAACCCAGGGUUGUUGAGGGAUUAAGCAAGUAGAUGAAGGUAAUGUGCUAGAGUCAACUGAGUGAGCAUGUAUGGAAUGGAAAUUGGGGGGAGGAGAAGCAGUGUUUUUGGGAGGUUUUCUCUUCUGCUUUUGGGUGGCUGGGUUUUUUCUUUCCUUGUCUAUUGUCCAUUGUUAUGUAGUAUAAUAAAUUGUCUGUCUGUUUCAAGUAUUA